rnacentral:rRNA from 1 species
AAUCAACGCUGGCGGCGUGCCUAACACAUGCAAGUCGAACGGGAAAACAGGGGCAACUCUGUGAGUACAGUGGCGUACGGGUGAGUAACACGUGACUAACCUGCCCUUCGGUGGGGGAUAACCUCGGGAAACCGGGGCUAAUACCGCAUAACAUCUCCGGGAUGAGAAGCCGGAGAUCAAAGGAGCAAUUCGCGGAAGGAGGGGGUCGCGGCUGAUUAGCUAGUUGGCGGGGUAACGGCCCACCAAGGCGAUGAUCGGUAGCCGGCCUGAGAGGGCGCACGGCCACACUGGAACUGAAACACGGUCCAGACUCCUACGGGAGGCAGCAGUGGGGAAUUUUGCGCAAUGGGGGAAACCCUGGCGCAGCAACGCCGCGUGGAGGAUGAAGUCCCUUGGGACGUAAACUCCUUUCGACCGGGACGAUAAUGACGGUACCGGUGGAAGAAGCCCCGGCUAACUUCGUGCCAGCCGCCGCGGUAAAAC